rnacentral:rRNA from 1 species
GAGUUUGAUCGUGGCUCAGAUUGAACGCUGGCGGCAUGCCUUACACAUGCAAGUCGAACGGCAGCAUGAUCUAGCUUACUAGAUUGAUGGCGAGUGGCGAACGGGUGAGUAAUACAUCGGAACGUGCCCUGUAGUGGGGGAUAACUAGUCGAAAGAUUAGCUAAUACCGCAUACGACCUGAGGGUGAAAGUGGGGGACCGCAAGGCCUCAUGCUAUAGGAGCGGCCGAUGUCUGAUUAGCUAGUUGGUGGGUAAAGGCCCACCAAGGCGACGAUCAGUAGCUGGUCUGAGAGGACGAUCAGCCACACUGGGACUGAGACACGGCCCAGACUCCUACGGGAGGCAGCAGUGGGGAAUUUUGGACAAUGGGCGAAAGCCUGAUCCAGCAAUGCCGCGUGUGUGAAGAAGGCCUCGGUUGUAA